rnacentral:piRNA from 1 species
UUUUUUUUUUAGGAUUCCAAGUAUCUUUAUUGAAUAGCCAUAAGAUCUUUCGAUACCAUAUAUGUAUGUAUGUAUAUAUGUUUAGAGAAAGUUAUGGCUGAACGCCAAACUUUAUCAAGGUAUUAUAACAUAUUAAUAUGUGUCACCAACAAACUCAGCGCCACAUACGUCAACAGAAUUAAGUUUUAAGAAUAUUUUGCUUAUAUACCAUGGGGAGAAAAAGAAAAUUGAGAAUGUCUGGAGAAAGUUAUCUUACCUCCUCCCUUCUUGCUUCCCAAACCUCCCACUGUAGGCUCGAAAGGAAAUCAUUCCACAUUUAAGCUGUAUUGAGUGAUUUCUAAAAGAUUUUAUUUAACUUGCUUCCAUAUCUGUCUUCUAUAAAUCUUGUAAUUAAUUUACUUACAUAGCACACCAAUGUGUUUGAAAUUUGGUAGACUUGCUUAAACCCGAUGACAGUGCAAUUUACAAAAUUCUAGACUUCUGAUUGGUCGGCGCAAUUGACAAUUUUCUAUAUUUAUUAACAUUGUAAGACAAGAUGAAGAUCUGAGUGUCCAUACAGAACUUUUUUAUGAUCGAUAAAUCUUUCAUGACAGUUGAUAUAAAGGUUUGCAAUAUUCUAAGUGAAAGAAUGAGGUCAUUGGAUGUUAAAAACAUGGCAGAUUGAUUUCACACCUUAAAAAAUCACUUUCUCUUGUCAUUUUCCCCCAAGAGAACCAAUUAUAUGGUAGAUAUUCUUAAAAAAGAAUGUUCAUAGAUUAGCAUGGUCAAUUUAAUUAAAUUUUUGAUCAAUUUCCUUGUUUUUCUUAUAUGAUCUAUUUCUAUGUCUUUAGGAAUAGUAUUACUAACUGAAAAAAUAAUCUGACAUUUCUUAUCCGAAAAAAAAAAGGUGGAUUAACAAAAUCCAAUAUUUUAGUUACUGGUCACUCUUUUCCUUUUAUGUAUAUUCCAUACUUUAGUUCACAUUCCUAUGGCUAAAUUGUUCUUAGCCAUAUAUAACCUAUAUUUAUAGAAGAUAGUUCUUAUCUAUUAGCAUAAUGAUAACAGAGAAAAAUAAUAAACCUUGAAAUUAAGACAAUGAUAAUCUCUCUAUUCGUUAUAGAAGAAAAUACACAAGUCAGGGGAGAAGAGAUUAUUUUGUACGAGAACGAUCGUACAAGUCCGUAGAAAGGCGUCUUGUCCGAAGGUUUGAUGAUCGUCCUCGUAUAGAAGAGGCUCUUCUCCCCGACUUAUGUCGUACAAGUCCGCAGAAAGGCGUCUUGUACGAAGGUUUGUACGAUCAUCCUCGUAUAGAAGAGGCUCUUCUCCCCGACUUAUGUCGUACAAGUCCGCAGAAAGGCGUCUUGUACGAAGGUUUGUACGAUCGUCCUCGUAUAGAAGAGGCUCUUCUCCCCGACUUAUGUCGUACAAAUCCGUAGAAAGGCGUCUUGUCCGAAGGUUUGACGAUCGUCCUCGUAUAGAAGAGGCUCUUCACCCCGACUUAUGUCGUACAAAUCCGUAGAAAGGCGUCUUGUCCGAAUGUUUGUAUGACCGUCCUCGUAUAGAAUAGGCUCUUCUCCCCGACUUAUGUCGUACAAGUCCGUAGAAAGGCGUCUUGUCCGAAUGUUUGUACGAUCGUCCUCGUAUAGAAGAGGCUCUUCUCCCCGACUUAUGUCGUACUAGUCCGUAGAAAGGCGUCUUGGCCCAAGGUUUGUACGAUCGUCUUCGUAUAGAAGAGGCUCUUCUCCCCGACUUAUGUCGUACAAGUCCGUAGAAAGGCGUCUUGUACGAAGGUUUGUAUGACCGUCCUCGUAUAGAAGAAGCUCUUCUCCCCGACUUAUGUCGUACAAGUCCGUAGAAAGGCGUCUUGUCCGAAUGUUUGUAUGACCGUCCUCGUAUAGAAGAAGCUCUUCUCCCCGACUUAUGUCGUACAAGUCCGUAGAAAGGCGUCUUGUCCGAAGGUUUGUACGAUCAUCCUCGUAUAGAAGAGGCUCUUCUCCCCAACUUAUGUCGUACAAGUCCGUAGAAGGACGUCUUGUCCGAAGGUUUGUACGAUCAUCCUCGUAUAGAAGAGGCUCUUCUCCCCGACUUAUGUCGUACAAGUCCGUAGAAAGGCGUCUUGUCCGAAGGUUUGUACGAUUGUCCUCGUAUAGAAGAGGCUCUUCUCCCCGACUUAUGUCGUACAAGUCCGUAGAAAGGCGUCUUGUCCGAAUGUUUGUAUGACCGUCCUCGUAUAGAAGAAGCUCUUCUCCCCGACUUAUGUCGUACAAGUCCGUCGAAAGGCGUCUUGUCCGAAGGUUUGACGAUCGUCCUCGAAUAGAAGAAGCUCUUCUCCCCGACUUAUGUUUCAUCUUCUAAACGUCUCUCUAUAAUCGUUUAUAAUCCUUAACCUAGGCUGUCAAAGUUUCUAUCUCAUCAAAUAAGAGAAAAGAGCAAAAUUGAAAGAAAAAAAAAAAAAAGAAAAUCAGAGAGUUCAAAUUUUUUUUACCAAGGCAGUGACCUUGAACCCCAACAUACUUAUAUGUAUAUAUGUGUAUUUAUAUUAGAUAAUUAAUAGAUAUAGUGUAUUAUUUUGUAUUGAAUAUAUGCAAAUUAUUUUGAAGAAAAAAAAAAGAACGUCGAAAAGAAACUGGCUCAGUAUUGAAAUGGUGUUUCUAGAGAGAAUUAUGAAGUACAUUGAUAUAUAUUGUAUGGAAAUAUAAAAGGUAUAUUCUAUCACUUUUUAUUAUAUAUUCAAUAUUUAGGGAGAGUGAGUAUCGUAUUAAGAAUAAAAAUUCUAACUUUCAAUUUGUUCUUAAUCUUUCAAUACCAGGAGUUUAGUCUAUUUAAAGAAUUUUGUACAAGAUAGUCUUUUUAAUCACUAAAUUUUAUCUAAAUGGAACAUUAUAAGACAGCGCUAUAGGAUAAAAUACAUAUAAUCUGGUAAGACCAUUCUCAUCUGUUUCUUCUUUUUCUUAGAAUCAUUCUUCAACACAAAUUUUAUCCCUAAGUGCCUGUUCUCAUUUUUCACCAUUCUGCUGUGCAUCACAUUGAAGAUUUCUUCAAGAUGUGUGUUCUACUCUAUCAUAAGUUCUUCUUUCUUUCAAACACACAACAGAGAGUUGUUGUUGUCGUGUCCAACGAAGAGCCUCAGAUGUCUCCAUGCAUCUCUAUCACAGCAGCAGCAAUACUACAGAGAGUAGAGGGGCUAUUGAAGCCUUCAAAUUUCCAUAGGCAAGAUCCUUCAAUUGAAAAGUUAAAGCGUUCAAAUUGAUUUAAUUUCCUCUUUAAACCAUUCCAAAUAUUAUUCCUGUUCUCUUUUCGAUUAUUAAAAUAUUUUGUACCCUUAUCUAUCAAUCAUUUUGUUAUAUAGAAGCAUCACUUUUUGUCAAGUUUUUCAUCUGAAAUUCAAAAGACUAAAAUUUUAUUCAAACAUGUUUUUAUGUACAUAUGUAUUUGAAUAUAUGUGUGUGUGUGAAUUUAUAUAUAUAAGUUUUUUGUAUAUGUGUAUGCUUCCUUUAUGCAAAUGUAUAUAUGUGUGGUUAUAUGCAUGCGUGUAUAUUACGAGUUUAUUAAGUCAUUUUGGCUGAAAAAUCAUUAUUACUACUUCACCACACAGCAAAUGCCUUUUUGGAUGAUUGAAACGAUUUCAUAUAUAUUUGCAUCUUAGUUUCUCUGUAAAUCGAAGCUGUUCUUGUCUUAGUGAUGGAGCCAUGUCCAGUGAGUAUCAUUUAAGGAUAGCGAGAUUUCCCAAAUUUGAUCAUAAUCUGGUGUUGGGCCAAUAUUGGAAUAUACAAGAUUUGAACAAAGAAGUUCGAAUUGGCUCCAUAUCCUGGUGUUUCGAUAAAAGAAGACUAUAAAUAAAAAGCUCAGAAUCCAUGCUGAUUUUAUCUUUAUCCUUCAUAUUGUAGUUGUUGUAUCGCCUAACAAGCGUGUACUAUGGGAAUAGCCUUAGGAAAAGCAAAAUCAUCUGCAAUACAUAUGAAUGAAAACCAAAACAUCUUCCAAAGGUGAGUUCCUUACUUUAUUUUAUAUUAAUCUCAAGCUUUCGGGUAUCACAAACCUUUCUACAAGAUGAGAUUUCAUCAUAUAACCCUGUAAAAGGAUUUGAAUUACCCGAAAGCUUGUGAUGAUUAUACAAUAAAGCUUGAAGCUCACCCUCGGAAGCUGUUUUGGUUAUCAUGUAUAUGUAUUGGAAAGAAUUUUGAUUUUACUAUGGCUAUCCCCAUAGUACAGGCUUGUUAGGCGGUACAACUACGAUAGGAAGGAUAAAGAGAAGAUUAGUAUGGAUCCUGCGCAAGGAUGACAUGCAAAAUCGUGAAGCGUUCCAUUUCGUUCCAUAGCUAUGUGAACUCUGCUAACUGUCGAAGAGGAGGAAGAUCUACAGAACUAUGCAACUACGUCGGGACAACUUCAGAUAGACCCAAUCCCUUCUGCCUCUUGUGCCGAACCCGUAGAAUCGAACUUGUGGUCAAUUUAUCACAAGCUCGGAUGUACGGGCACGGGACGGGAGGCAUGUCGCGACAUGGGGACAACUGGUCAUCGCUUCUGCAAGCUGAGACUCUGUAUAUAGUGACAUUUUGUAAGUUAUCACUGUGUGUCUAUCUACAUAGCAUGCUGCUUCCCCACUUCCUGUCUAUCACACACACAUAUCUGUAGCCAUUAUAUGUUCUUUCUAUUGUGUAAAUAAUCUUAAUAAAGAAAAACUUAUUGCCAUUAUCUUGAUUGACAUAUUGUAUUUAAACCUUUGCUAUUAGUUUAAGAAUCUUUAGUCACAUAAAUAUGUAUUAUAAAUAUAAAUGAAUAUAUAUACAUAGUUUCUUUUUACAAACUUUCGUAUUGAUUUUAUAUUUCGCUGAUAGCUACUUUUUAAUUAAUUGUAUAUUUUCGAUUGAUCAAUAUAGCGCCUGUGACACACAAUAUAUACAACCUCGCUAAAACGAACCAGGGAUAUAGCGAACCCUCCCUUAUAACCAACCUGAAAUAAUCCCUAUUUUAUAAUACAUUGAACUAUAGCUAUAAUGAACCAUGGCUAUAUUGAACCAUAGGUUGAGUUCCAUUGGGGUUCGCUAUAGAGGGGUUUUACUAUAUUUAUAUAACUAGCUAUUACGAAGCCUAAUGGGACUGAGCUUUUGGUUCACUAUAGCCAUGGUUCAAUCUAUGGUAUCACUAAUAUUGGGGAUUAUUCUAAUUUCUUUAUAAUGUGGAUGGUUCGCUAUAUCCUCGGUUUCUCAAUUUUUGUGAUAGUUGUACUGUAAACAGUUUUAUGUGUUUUAAACGGGGAAAAAUUACAUCGGUUCACUACAUUUUCCGAAAUAAAUCCAAUUCCGAAUGAAAUAUUUAGCUAAAAUGAUAGUUACAAUGAUAUAAUGCUAUAAUGAUUGUUACAAGAUAUUUAAAUUAUACAAAAUAAAGAUAAAAUGAUAGAUACUUCUCCAAUGAAUUAAACCCAAUAUAUUCUGUUAACGUAAGAUAUAUGGUAAUUCCAACAGAAAUCGAAAGUUUAAAAAAAAAAAAAAAAACGUUUUUGAUAACCAAUCGCAUCCUAUCUCAAGGUUUCUUGAACUCCCUUUAUCAAGCCAUGAUAAGACAUCGGGUUGUAACCUAACAAAGGAAUGCCUUGCAAUGUCAGAUUCUCGUUGCUCACACACAGUUGUCAUAAAAUGAAAUUACUAAUUGGUUCCCCCUCUCCUCAUUAUCCACUUCUAAAAAUAAACAUUCAACACAACGGUAAACAGGAAAGUUCAUUUGUUGCCACUUUUGUUCGGGGGGUAAUUUGUCACAAGGAAUUUGUUCCGAAAACUGAGUUGUUCUCUACUCGAUCGUCUAUAGUUUAGGAAAAAAGCAGUUAAGUUAUAUAACUGAAAAUUAGGUACGCGUGCAAAAGGUGAUAUUCUUAUUUCAACAAAGAUAACGACAUAAUAUAGUUUGAAUUCUAUAUGGUAAUAAGAUUUUCUUCUUCUUUCUAAUCUCCUCUCAAUCAUUUUUUUAGAUGUCCGUGGAACUUUAUGAUUGAAAAAGCGAAAUAAAUAGUUCUUCUUUAUUCAUUAAGAAUGGGAAUACUCCUCAGUAGCUGAUUAGCCUUCAAUAUUAAAUAGUUGCCUCUGCAAGGAGGAACGGACAUUCUAUGCAGCCGCUUCUAACUUUGAGUACCGAAGUUGUUCAUCCUGUGUUCCUGGAACAGAAGUUCUUACAAUGUACUAUCAGCAAGGCCAUCUGAGCUUAGGUUUUUGUUUCUUCUUCUUUCUUAUCUCCACUCAAUCACACUAAAGUAUCAAGCUUGUAAAGCUUGAGACUUUUGAUGGUGUCUGCUGGGGAAGAGUAGAGCUCAUAGGUUUUUUUUAGCUAACUAGAGUAAAACCUUGCUAAAACGAACCAAGGAUAUUGCGAACCUUCUAUUAUAACGAACCUUAAAAAUAUAAUUUCUAUAUAUAUUUAAAAAUACAGUGAACUCUAUGGAUAUAAUGAACCAUUGCUAUAGUGAACCAAAGGUUCAGUUCCAAUUGGAGUUCACUAUAGAGAGGAAGGUUUUACUGUAGUUACUGCUCCUCUUCAUCUUUCUUAAUCCGGGCUUGGGACCGGCAAUGUCGAAAUUUUCCAAUAAGGUAACAAACGUGGCAGGAUCAGAUAAUUCAAGAUGGUUAUAUUUCUUGGCCAGUACUCGUGUACACUUGCAAAAAAAAAAUCUUUCCGAGGUGACAAUAUGCAACUGAAGAUCAAAUUAGUGUUAACUAAACGAGACAAUUUGUUAGCAGACAAUUAUAAUAGGAACAAUAAACCAGAUAUAUAAAUAGCUUUUACAAAAAAAGCAGAAUUAAUGCUCGAAUGAUUGAAUCAUUGUUGAUGGCCAAACGUAACGGAAGACAAGAGAAUGGCGGAGAUUUUGACAAUACCAAAAGAAUAAAAGGUAACGUCGCUACAUCCUUUUUAUUUAUUAUUAAAAAGAAAUUACAGAAAAUUUCGAAAAGCUCUUUAUCAGCUUGGUGUAUAUUGUAGUCAAAUUGUUUUGUGAUAGCUAGUGAGAUAAAGAGAGAAAAUAGAGGCAACCCGAGCUCCUGGAGCAUUCUAGUGAGAUAUACAAACUCGCCUUAUCUAUCCAAGCGCGCAUUUAUUUAUUAAACUAUUUUACUUAUAAUGUAUGCAUCAAGGUGAUAAAGAACUUAUAUGAACGUUUCUGUAAUUACUUUUAAUAAUUAAAUUUCAAAAGAUUCAGUGUUGCGCUCUUCAUUCUUUUGUUCGUACUGCCUAGAUGGGUAUUCAAUAACAAUUCAAUGAGCAAAUAAUUUCUGCCAUUCGGAUGAUGAUAUAUGGAGGAUUGUAGAAAGAUAGUGCAGACGACUGUAUGGAGCUGUGAGGUGGAAGGGUGUAAUGACCGUAUAUACAGCAGUAGAGAUAAGGUUACAAAAGUCAAAGUCUGACCUCUUGACCUCCCCGCAGCUGGAGUAGACACCUGCUCUGGACACACUACUGGCCGUUACCUACCCUAUCUACAUAUACCACCGCCAUCUACACUUCUUUCUCUCUACCCUUUCCAUCUACAAUAUUUAUCUUGAAACUGUUGAUUUGGAUGAUAACUCUUUUGUUUAAUUUCUUCUAUUUGUUGUUGUUGUGUUUUCGUGUUCAAUGAAGAGCCUCAGAUGUCUCCAUGCAUCUCUAUCACAGCAGUCGCAAUAUUCUCUAUCUUGGGCGUGUAAAGCUGCUGUUUUGGGUCCAUGUCAAUUUUCUGUUGUUAUUGUUGUGUUCAAUGAAAAGCCUCAGAUGUCUCCAUGUAUCUCUAUCAUAGCAAUGGCCUUUAUCUUGGAUGUGUAAAUCUUCUGUUCUGGGUCCAUGUCAAUUUCUGUUGUUAUUGUUGUAUCCAAUGAAGAGCUUCAUAUGUCUAUAUGCAUCUCUAUCACAGCAGCAGCAAUGUUAUCUUUUUUGGAUGUGUAAAGCUGCUGUUCUGGGUCCAUGUCAAUUAUCUGUUGUUGUUGUCGUUUCCAAUGAAGAGCCUCAUAUGUAUCCAUGCAUCUCUAUCACAGCAGUCGCACUCUAUCUUAGUUGUGUAAAGCUGUUGUCCUGGGUCCAGGUAAAUUAUCUGUUGUUGUCGUCGUUCCCAAUGAAGAGUAUCAGAUGUCUCCAUACAUCUCUAUCACAGCAGUCGCAAUGUUCUCUAUCUUGGGAGUGUAAAGCUGCUGUUCUGGGUCCAUGUCAAUUAUCUGUUGUUGUUGUCGUGUCCAAUGAAGAGCCUCAUAUGUCUCCAUGCAUCUCUAUCACAGCAGUCGCAAUGUUCUCUAUCUUGGGAGUGUAAAGCUGCUGUUCUGGGUCCAUGUCAAUUUCUGUUGUUAUUGUUGUGUCCAAUGAAGAGCUUCAGAUGUAUCCAUGCAUCUCUAUCACAGCAGUCGUAAUAUCCUCUAUCUUAGGUGUGUAAAGCUGCUGUUCUGGGUGCAUGUCAUUUUUUGCAAGGCUGCGGUCAUUGCUGGGCAUGAGAACAUGUGGGUAGGUGUUAGUUCCACUCCAGGACAACUAGUUCUUCUCUUUGUCAUAUCAGUAUGAUUUAUUUUCCUUUUUUUUUCAGAAACAUUGAGCGCUCUUUAACAUUAAUGCUAAAGGAUGUUCCGAAAAUAUGUAAAACCUAUUUUUCACUUCUGUAUUUAAAAAAUAAUUUGCUUUAUUACCGUUUAAAAUUCUUAACUGAGGUUUUAUUGUUUGUUAUAUAUAUGAAACAAAUGAAAACACUCGCGUCUUGAUGUUUUCAUUUGUUAUAUUUAUAUAGAUGGCGCGUUAUUGCU